UAUCAUCCUGUAUGCGCCCUAUCUCGUCUGAUCUCCGAAGGUAAGCAGGGUCGGGCCUUGUUAGUACUUGGAUGGAAGAAUGCCUGGGAAUACCGGGU
rnacentral:rRNA from 1 species